rnacentral:ncRNA from 2 species
GCCGGAUUGUCAGGAGAGAGCCUUCGCCCCGAGCGAGGCCGCCGAAGGCGCAGGACCCCACAACGUGAGUUGACGGCCCGAACGCUCAGGCAAAAGGACUGGCAGACAUGG